rnacentral:rRNA from 1 species
GACGAACGCUGGCGGCGUGCUUAACACAUGCAAGUCGAGCGGAGCGGCGAACGGGUGAGUAACGCGUGAGUAACUGCCCCCCUCUCUGGGAUAACAGUUGGAAACGGCUGCUAAUACCGGCUAGUGGGGGAUGACUCGCGUCCUAUCAGCUUGUUGGUCGGGUAGUGGCCUACCAAGGCGACGACGGGUCGCCGGCCUGAGAGGGCGACCGGCCACAUUGGGCUGGGAAACGUACCAAACUCGUACGGGGGGCAGCAGUGGGGAAUAUUGGACAAUGGGGGAAACCCUGAUGCAGCAACGCCGCGUGCGGGAUGACGGCCUUCAGGUUGUAAACCGCUUUCAGCCAUAAAGCGGUAGUGGCAGAAGAAGCACCGGCUAACUACGUGCCAGCAGCCGCGGUAAUUC